rnacentral:rRNA from 1 species
AACGAACGCUGGCGGCAGGCUUAACACAUGCAAGUCGAGCGCCCCGCAAGGGGAGCGGCAGACGGGCGAGUAACGCGUGGGAACGUACCCUUAUCUUCGGAAUAGCUCCGGGAAACUGGAAUUAAUACCGAAUGUGCCCUUAGGGGGAAAGAUUUAUCGGAUAAGGAUCGGCCCGCGUUGGAUUAGCUAGUUGGUGGGGUAAAGGCCUACCGAGGCGACGAUCCAUAGCUGGUCUGAGAGGAUGAUCAGCCACAUUGGGACUGAGACACGGCCCAAACUCCUACGGGAGGCAGCAGUGGGGAAUAUUGGACAAUGGGCGCAAGCCUGAUCCAGCCAUGCCGCGUGAGUGAUGAAGGCCCUAGGGUUGUAAAGCUCUUUCAAUAGGGAAGAUAAUGACGGUACCUACAGAAGAAGCCCCGGCUAACUUCGUGCCAGCAGCCGCCGUAAAAC